UCGGCCUGCCCUCGGCCUGCCCCGGGUCGGGCCGCUGCUGCGGGGCCUGCGGGGCCGGCGGCGCGGCGCGGGGUCGCGGCUUCCCGCCUCCCGCCUCCCGUAGUGCGCGGGACUUGCCUUUUUAAUCGCCACGGUCCGGGCUUGCGGUGGAUCCCUCACCGCUACAUCGUGUUAACUUGCUAAACAAUCUUUUUUUCUUUCUGCAAAUGCCCUGCAGGCCAACCGCAAUCCCAUUGCGACCUCGUCUUUUUAAUCCCGUGCCUUGCUCCGCCAGGCCUGCGGGUGCACCGCCUUCGCCUCGCCGAGGCCAGGCACGAGGAAGAAGCGUAGUUUAGGGCCAAAUUCCAAGUUACAAGCACCGGAAAAGGGAGAACUCGACGAUGAAGAUGCACAAAAGGAUACAAAAUCACCCUUGUGCUCAUCACCUGGAUUUAAAAACUGUUCCUGUCCACGCGCAUGUGGAAUUUAGGAAGCAAAACAGGCAUAUAUUUGGAAACCCUUUAGGUGGCCUACUCUUCAGUUUUCAGAAAAGUGGCAAGACAAUAGGACUUUCAUGAUAAAAUCAUAGAAGAUUAUCAAGUUAAAACAGAAGGGACCUUUUAUUAGUUUGUCAUUAGCUAUGUUUAUUUUUUAAAUUUUUUAUUAGCUAUGUUUGAAAAAGUUCCAUUAUUAUACACAUUAUUUUCUGUAUGUACAUAUUAAAAAUGUGAUCAGUUUUCUGUUACCAUAUUAUGUGAAAAAACCCGGUCAGAUUCUCACCAGAAUUUGAAAGUAUGUCUGGAAUAGUCAGGCUGAACUUAUAGAAUUGGUAGCAAACAUAAAAUUUAUUUAAGGUAUCCCAGGGAGCACCAUAAAGAUAUAAGCUGAGUCAUCCUCCAGAAAAGCUGUAGCUGAGAUAUAAUAAGAAGCUUAUGUAAUUGCCAAUUGAGAAACAUUCCACCUGUACUAGAUGCUGUGGACAGCAACUAGAAGUUCAAAAGAAAAGGAAAACAAGGUAUUUUAUCAAUCCACUAGAAGAGAAAAAGAAAAAGAGAAAAGAUUGGUAAAUGGGACAUGAGAAUAAUAUGACAGAAAUGAGAUAAAUAUUUCACUAAUCACAAAAUCACCUUCUAGAAGAUUUCAGAUUUGUUACUUGCAAGAGACAUAUAUAAGACAAAACCAUACAAAAGAAUAAAAAUAAAGAAACGAGAAAUACUUGAACA
rnacentral:lncRNA from 1 species